rnacentral:rRNA from 1 species
UACGUAGGGGGCAAGCGUUGUCCGGAAUCAUUGGGCGUAAAGAGCGCGUAGGCGGCCCUGUAAGUCCGCUGUGAAAGUCAAGGGCUCAACCCUUGGAUGCCGGUGGAUACUGCAGGGCUAGAGUCCGGAAGAGGCGAGUGGAAUUCCUGGUGUAGCGGUGAAAUGCGCAGAUAUCAGGAGGAACACCGAUGGCGAAGGCAGCUCGCUGGGACGGUACUGACGCUGAUGCGCGAAAGCUAGGGGAGCGAACGGG